UUUAUAAAAUGAUAAAAAUAUUUCAAUCUUAUUAAUCAGCUUAGUAACAUUUUUUUGUAUAUAUAUUUUGCAGAACUUAAUCCGAAAGAUUGUCUUGCUAAGCAAACGAGUCUAAGAAACUCCUAAAAUGAAAAGAGAAUUCUUUGGGAAUAUUCUUCACGAGAUUUAUUAUAUUCAUAAGGUGUUCUACGGCUGUUGUAAAUACACAAAAUAUUGGUGAUGUGCUUAUUAAAGAUAAUUCUUUGGGAAUAUUCUUCACGAGAUUUAUUAUAUUCAUAAGGUAAGCAAUAUGUCAAGGGAAUAUUGAAUAAUACUUAGCUUUAAUCUUUGCAUGAUGAGCUUCAAGCUUUCGCCCCUAUCUGAAAACUAAGAGAAACUUCCAAUGUUGAAUGCGUGAUUGGUCUUACUGAAAUGAAACUAACAAAAUCUUAAAAUUUAACAUAUAUUUGUGCU
rnacentral:sRNA from 1 species